GAAAGAAGAAACAAAAA
rnacentral:sRNA from 1 species